rnacentral:lncRNA from 1 species
GGAUGAACAACAGUUUGAAUUCUUAGUUUUUUCCAUUAGUUUCAAAAUAUUAUACAAAACACCUAGUAUCAGAAAUUUACACUAAUGGACUACUGACAUGCGAUUAGGACCACAUAUAGUUGAAAGGAAUGCAUAGACAUUGAAAGAACGAGAACUUUUCAAGCUUGUCUCUGGUAUGAGAAAAUUUUACCACCUCGAUCUAAUGGUCAUCGACCUUCAACUGUUGUAACCGAUAAUCCAUUUAUAC